CAGUGCACCGCACGUUUCUACCGAACUGUCAGUGGCAACGUACUCCUCGAAAGGGACGUCGCCGAGAGCUGGCAGGAGACCGUCGACGUCAAGCUCACUUGUGUCUUCUUCCCCCACUUCAAGCGUCCGAUAAGGCCCGCGAGUUGCCAUAGUAAAUGCACGUGGAGCUUCGUCGCACGUGGAAACGCUGAGUCCGCACACGACCGUAACGAGAUCAACAAUGAGGCCCGGAACCGGAACCGCCGGAGCAGCCGCUUCGUGAUCUGGGGCGCUGCAUGCAACUGCGAUGCCAUCAGCUGACGCUUUGAG